UUUGAGCAGACACUACACACGCACACACAUACACAUGAAUAAUACAAAAAUCAUGAAUAUAUCAAAUGUAGAAAUAUAGCUACUUUGUAAGAUGUUUAGAGCUAGAAACCGAACAACAAACAAAAGCUGCAAACGAUAGCAUUUAUUUUUUCACCGCAAAAGAGAACAAAAAACAAGAAGGGAGAAACAAGUGAACGUAAAGCCUUUCCAAAAGAUACAAACACAUACACAUGUAAUUUAUUAUUUAAUCACACCAUUAAUCCAUUGUAAAGAGGCAAAAAGCGGAUACAAAUUAAACUAAAACCUAUUAAACUAUAGAAUUAAGAAAUGCGAGUAAACUAAAGCUGUUCAUAAUUGAAGUCAAAGCCCAACAACAAUAACAUAAUCGAAACAUAUUGUAUCUUAUAUAACCAUUCCGUACACUUUAUAUACACAAACACACCAUAAAUAAUUAACAAA